CUUUGUUUAGCUGUACUUCAGGUAAAGGCCCGAACUCGUUAGUGUAGUCUGGUAUGCAAUUAAAAAAAUAGUAAAGAAAAACUGUAGCUACCAAUAUGACCUACCGUGGGUCUGGGUGGUGUUCCAUUGACACUGACCACUAAUAGCUCUUUCCACAUUUAUAGUUUUUUAAAGCCCGUACAAACACCAAAUAUGAAGGUCAUUCUUGCCAUCAAACUUAUUUCAUUUCAAAAAAUAAUUUCUGCCGCAAAUCACCUCUCAACUGCAAAAAAAAGUUUAUGUGAAGGCUGCACGCGCUGUGACAGAAACGAAAGCCGAUUGCAGUCAUGGCACGUUCCUUAUUUGUCACCGUCGUGUGUUCAUGUUUGAGAGGAACAAGAGGUUUUCCGCCAUUAGGCUAAGCAACUGUGUGAAAAGUAAGGCUGGAUCCGGGAAGAAGGUUGGAACAAUGGCGACAAACAAUUGAUUGAUGUCUCACGACAAAAACGUGGAAACAGCACAGCAACGGAAGCAAUGAAACUGGCUCGCCGAGGCUCAUCGAGGGACCCUGAGCCCUGGCCCUGCAGG